NNNNNNNUCUGGCAGGGGAGACACCAUGCUCAGGAAGGUGGGUUUCCCAGGGCGAGGCUCAUCCAUUGCACUGCGGGUGUGCUGACCCCUGCGAUUUCCCCCAAAGCUGGAAACUCGACGGCAUAAUUUGUGGUAGUGGGGGACUGCGUUCGCGCUCUCCCAUU
rnacentral:snRNA from 1 species